rnacentral:rRNA from 1 species
GAUGAACGCUGGCGGCGUGCCUAAUACAUGCAAGUCGAGCGAACAGACGAGGAGCUUGCUCCUCUGACGUUAGCGGCGGACGGGUGAGUAACACGUGGAUAACCUACCUAUAAGACUGGGAUAACUUCGGGAAACCGGAGCUAAUACCGGAUAAUAUAUUGAACCGCAUGGUUCAAUAGUGAAAGACGGUUUUGCUGUCACUUAUAGAUGGAUCCGCGCCGCAUUAGCUAGUUGGUAAGGUAACGGCUUACCAAGGCAACGAUGCGUAGCCGACCUGAGAGGGUAAACGGCCACACUAGAACUGAGACACGGUCCAGACGCCUACGGGAGGCAGCAGUAGGGAAUCUUCCGCAAUGGGCGAAAGCCUGACCGAGCAACGCCGCGCCAGGGAUGAGGGUCUUCGGUGCGGAGAGCGCUGUUCUUAGGGACGAACGAAUGUGUAAGUAACUAUGCACGUCUUGACGGUACCUAGUCAGAAAGCAACGGCUAACUUCGUG